UUUAUGCAUGCAAGUCGAACGGUCUUUAGCAAUAAAGACAGUGGCAAACGGGUGAGUAAUACAUGAGUAACUUGCCCCCAAGUAAGGAAUAACUCCGGGAAACUGGAGCUAAUGCUGUAUGUUGUGGCAGGGGUAAAGCCCUGUUACUAAAGCCGCAAGGCGCUUGGGGAGAGGCUUAUGUCCGAUUAGCUAGUUGGUGGGGUAAUGGCUCACCAAGGGAAAGAUCGGUAGCUGGUUUACUGAGGACGAUCAGCCACAAUUUUUUCUCAGACACGGGGAAUACUCCUACGGGAGUCGUAUGUGGGGCUUCUA
rnacentral:sRNA from 1 species